UUAGUUCAGUGUUAGUUCAGUGUUAGUUCAGUGUUAGUUCAGUGUUAGUUCAGUGUUAGUUCAGUGUGUUAGUUCAGUGUUAGUUCAGUGUUAGUUCAGUGUUUUAGUUCAGUGUUAGUUCAGUGUUAGUUCAGUGUUAGUUCAGUGUUUCUUCAGUGUGUUAGUUCAGUGUUAGUUCAGUGUGUUAGUUCAGUGUUAGUUCAGUGUGUUAGUUCAGUGUUAGUUCAGUGUUAGUUCAGUGUUAGUUCAGUGUUAGUUCAGUGUGUUAGUUCAGUGUUAGUUCAGUGUUAGUUCAGUGUGUUAGUUCAGUGUUAGUUCAGUGUUAGUUCAGUGUUAGUUCAGUGUGUUAGUUCAGUGUUAGUUCAGUGUUAGUUCAGUGUUAGUUCAGUGUUAGUUCAGUGUUAGUUCAGUGUGUUAGUUCAGUGUUAGUUCAGUGUUAGUUCAGUGUUUCUUCAGUGUUAGUUCAGUGUUGGUUCAGUGUUAGUUCAGUGUUAGUUCAGUGUUUCUUCAGUGUUGGUUCAGUGUUGGUUCAGUGUUAGUUCAGUGUUAGUUCAGUGUUGGUUCAGUGUUGGUUCAGUGUUAGUUCAGUGUUAGUUCAGUGUUAGUUCAGUGUUAGUUCAGUGUUAGUUCAGUGUUAGUUCAGUGUUAGUUCAGUGUGUUAGUUCAGUGUUAGUUCAGUGUGUUAGUUCAGUGUUAGUUCAGUGUUAGUUCAGUGUUUUAGUUCAGUGUUAGUUCAGUGUUAGUUCAGUGUUAGUUCAGUGUUAGUUCAGUGUGUUAGUUCAGUGUUAGUUCAGUGUUAGUUCAGUGUUAGUUCAGUGUUAGUU
rnacentral:lncRNA from 1 species